UGAGUAACCUGCCCUAGGCUUUGGGAUAACCCUCGGAAACGGGGGCUAAUACCGGAUAUGACUUCUUGCCGCAUGGUGGGGGGUGGAAAGUUUUUCGGCCUGGGAUGGGCUCGCGGCCUAUCAGCUUGUUGGUGAGGUCGCGGCUCACCAAGGCGACGACGGGUAGCUGGUCUGAGAGGAUGAUCAGCCACAUUGGGACUGAGACACGGCCCAGACUCCUACGGGAGGCAG
rnacentral:rRNA from 1 species